UGCAGUCCGUGUGCUUGCUCCAUGGCCCACUCCUCAAUUGGUUGCUGCAGGGACAGUUGGCCAGCAAUUGUAUUGGUGGCUGCUUGUAAUCUUCUUAGCUACUGCCUGAGUAACAUGGUAGCUGUGUUAGACCUGCUUCCUGCUUGGUCUUGGCUCACUGGUAUCAGCAUUAAACCCAAUCUUAGACAGAUAUUCUCAGAAGAAACAAAGACUCUGAGACUCCACGACUCCGCGACUCCACGACUCUGCAGCCACAAUCUCCUCUACUCUGUUCCAUGGACCUCCUUGCUGGAUGAGAGAACCCACGCCGCUGGCACCUGAGCAAGGGUCUGAGGACAUUCGGCUCCUCUGCAGGCACUUCCACGGUGGUUCCAGACUAGUGCGGUCCUGAGCUCCCCACACACCUCAUUUGUUUGGACUUGCGUUGGCUGAGCCCGUGCCUUCUAAUGUGUGUGUGAACCCUGUGUAGAGCUGCAGUCGCUGGGGCAUUCCACCACACUCGGAUUAACACUUCCAACAUGAUUGUUCUCAGGACUCUCUAGACACCAAUUGGGCAUCCUGCAACUCAACUCUGGAAAUUUAUGCAGACCCUGUGGAUGGGUCCUUCUGUCACCUGCAUAUCAUCUGACAUGGCUGCAAACCCAGGGUUCCAUAGCCCACGUCGGUUCCACGCUCGCUGGAAUGGUUCACAGAAUUCAGGGGAGUGCUGGACUUGCCCUGAAUUAUUAUGAGGGAAUAAAUCAGGAAUGACAAAAUGCAACAGAUGCUCAUGUGAGGGUCCCCAACCCUGGAAUCACUGCCUGAUCUCCUGGUGACCAGCCGUGUCCUGAAGCUGUCCAGAAACCACCUACAACCAUUGUUUCAUUAGCACGCCAGGGACAUGGCACACAUUUCAGGAGCUACAGGCCAGGAACGAGGGACAAAGCGCAGAACCUCACUGCAUGGUCUCUGUGCCUGAGCGGGGUCCUGACAUCAGGCUUCCUUUCCACCUUUAUCAAGAACCAGUGCAAGCCAAGGAGCACAAGGAUGACUGGCAAAACUUACCAGAGGUUGGAAGAGGCAUGGAAGUACCCUCUCUAGGUCCAAGGGGAGUAUGGCUCUGUUGACACCUUGAUUUCAGGACCUCACCUCCAGAACAGUGGGUCAAUGAAUUUCUGUUUUAAAAUACACAGUUUGUAGUACUUUGUUACUCAGCCCUAGGCUAAUACACUGCCUGAGUCUGAACUAAAGAUGCCAUUUGUUUCUCCCAAUCCAUCUUGCUAACCACAUCCACAUUCAAAAGACUACCCCAAUAUGGAGAUGAAGAGAAAUCGUGGAGAAAUAGUGGUAUAGUUUGGAUCUGAAGCAUCCCCUGAAGGCCAAUAUUCUGAAGACUUGGUCCCCAGCAUGAUGUAUUUGGGAAGUGGUGGUGCUAAUGGGAGGCUUUUAGGUGGAGGCAUGCCCUGGGGGUAGAUUAUGAGAUCCCAGUCUCUUCUUCUUUCUCUUCCACUUUCCAGCCACGAGGUGAACAGUUUUCGCCCAUCACCUCCUUCUGCCUUGAUGUGCUAUGCCAAAGCAAUGGGCCAGCUGAUCAUGAACUGAACCCUCUAAAACUGAGGGGGAGGAUCUUGAUUUCAUUGGAGAAAGAGGGUGCAUCCUUCCAUGGAUGGCUCCAGAGGUUGGAAGAAACCAGGAGAGGAUCCAGGAGAAGCCAAACCUGGAGCAAGGAGUAUAGCAGCAAAGAGGGGAAGAAGAAGCCUCAUUGCCCAGGAGACCAGGACCCAUCUCUUACCCAACUCUGCCUCAAAUCCCAUAUUUCUCUCCCUGAACCCCGAUAAUGAUUCUCCAAUAAUUUAACCAGAGUAACCCCACCCUUUUGAGCUGGAAAUAAGGGUUCCCUAAGGCCCUUCUGGACUCUUCUGUUUUCAUUGACAAGGUGGGAAUAAAGUACAUGGCUUCAGCUUCUCA